GUCUGUUUUGCCUUUUCUAAUCAGUGUUUAAUGAUUAACAGACGAGUAAGUGCGGUAUAAGGAGCGCUGCCUGCGUUGGAGCUGCCCGGGCUGACCACCAGAGCUUCAGGACAGCUUCUGCAUGCCCGGCUUCCCAUUCUUCCCAGGCACAAAUGGAUCCACCUUCUGCGUGCGCUGAAAUAGCUGAAGCCAAGCUCAUCUACCGCGCCCCUGUUGCCAGCCUGCAGAGCCCAUCCCCUGAGACAGCAGCAGUCACGUUCAGCGUCGCGGUGCCCAGCACAAACGUGUCCUGCCGUUGGAGGGACCCCCACUCUUGCAACACAGCCCUAUGCAGUGGCUCUCCAGCAGAGCGUUACGUUUGCCUUUGUGUUUUCCGUACCUCCAAGAAGGUCAGCAACAACCAGAAGGUGAUCCAGGGCUAGGAGGCAGCAGGGCAAGCUCACUUCCUUGGCUCUGUAGGUCACAGCUGGG
rnacentral:lncRNA from 1 species